UUUAAUAAUUAUUUUGUUGUGUACUUAACUAAAUAAUAAUUCAUUCAAAGAAAUGAACAUGAGAAAUCUCAUUAUGGAAAUUUAAUAAAUAAUUUUUAUUCUCAAUUAUAUAGACUUCUUCUAUAUUUAAAAACUUAAUUAUAAAAUACAUUGAUCUAAAUACUCUAUUCAAACCAUAAGCUUUUAUCAAUUAUGAAUUGGCAUUUUUACUUUUAUGUAUUUACGAUUAGCAUAAUGUCAUAUUAUCUCAUAAGUCUUAUCAAGUACGAUUGGAUCCAAACAAAUAAAAAUGUACAUAUAAAUAUGAUGCAGAGUAACUUAAAAAUUAUUAAACUCUACAUUUUAACUACUUCUAUACUUAUUUGAUUGAAAACAAAUCUCAUUUAAUAAUAGUCAAAUCGUAAUAUGUAAAUAACUUAUAUUUUAAUAUAAUAUGAGUGUUUUAAAAUAUAUUGUGUUUUUUUAAUGCAUAGACAUACAAAGAGAUAGAAUGCAUUAAGAGAGAGAAAACACAAAAUCAACAAAUAGUAAGAGAAAUGGAGUAUAUUUCAGGGCUUUUUGAUAACAUAAAUUGAUAAGAUGUAGAAAAUGUAAACAAAUUGAUUUAAUUAAAAUAAAAGUUGAGGGUAUGGACCUGAGUGAGUUUAUAUUGUGAAUUAGUACUAUUAGUAGAUAUCAUGCCAUAUGUUUAAAUGUAUUGACCGAACAUUAAAAAUUAAGGGGGGUUAAUUAAACCCUUUACAAUUUCAUAUUGGUAUGAAAAACCCCUGAAUUAGUCUUUAGGUUUUAUCAAUAUUCAUUGAAUAGUUCAUUCCAAAUUAUAAAAUUGACUCUAAAAACGUUUUUCACAAUUAGAGAGCAUAACUUUAAUAUUACUGUUUGUGAACUCCGCAGAGAAAGAAUGAAAUCACAUCUGACUAAAACUAUUAAUUUUAGAAAUCAAUGGAUAGUACAAAUUUAUUACUAAAUUACAAUUAUUAUUAUUAUUUCAAUAAAUAUUAUACCUAUCUCAUAUAGUUAAUGUCUGCAGAUUUUAAUGUUCGAAAUAUUAAAAGUGUGGAUUAAAGUAUAUUAUUUGUAUUUAUUAUUCCAUUUUUGACCUGAAAUAUAGUCUAUUUCUCUUACUACAUGUUGAUAUUAAAUUUUAUUCAGUAAGGGAUAUAAAACCCGCUGGCCAUCUCUUUAUGUAUACAUGUUUUAAUAGCUUUAAACUGUUUGGACUCAACGAUCAAAUUAUUAUUGAUAACAGGCUGAUAAAAAGAAAAUGAUGUAAACUCUAAUCAGUUGUAUUACUAAUCAAAGGGUCUAGGACAAAUAUACGAGGUCUUCUGGACUUUACUACAAGGGCAUUUGGUUGCAAAAAAAAAGAUAAUAAUAAUAAUAAUGAAAUAAAUAAUAAAAAUAAAAAAAAAUAACAAUAAAUGUAUUUAUUGUUAUUUUUACAUUAUGUAUAUAUAUAUAAUAUUAAAUACCUGAAUAACUGCUAUAAAAUAAAAAUCUUAUAAAUAUAAAAUUUAACUUACUAUACAUACCUAUUUACAUGAAAAGAACAUACAAAUUAAAAACAUACAUAAUUAAAUUCUAUUUUAAUGAAAUAUUUUGUAAUAUUUCCCUAAAAAAUGAUGUUUUUUCACUUUUUUCGUUAUCUUUGACUGUGUUGAGUAUUCUUUUAUCUAAAAUCUAAAUCAAUGUAUUAUUUUAAUUUUUAAGGAAUGAUUUUUCCCGCUUCUAAAUGUUGGUUUUACAAAUAUCGACUGAGUUAAAUUUUUUGAAGCACUUCAAAAAAUUUGUAUUGCCAACAAUGGUUUAGACAAAAGAAUACUCUACAUAGUAAAAAAUUAUUGGAAAAGAGAAAUAAUAUCGUUUUUGAGGGGAAUACCAUAAAAUAUUUCAUUAAAAUAGAUUAUAUUUCUGUAUUUUUUUAAUUUUUUUUUAUUUAAUGAAAUAUUAACAUAAAUUAUUAUAUCUCGACAAUUAAACUUAAUAAUUGUGUAUAUUUUUUAUUUUUAUGUUCUUUUCAUGUAGGUAGGUAUGUAUGCUUAUUUGAAUUUAAUAUGAAAUAUAUGAUAAUAAUAAUAAUAUAUACAAUUAUUAUUUAUUAUUGUAUUAUUAUUAUCAUUUUUUUUGUUGGAGUUCAAAUGUGCUUCGCGUUCAUUUGGCGGUCUCUAUGUGGUUGGGCCCAUUUGUUCUAGACCUCUAAUCAAAAAUGAAACCAUUUAAUUAUUGUAAAAAAAAACAUAAUAAUGAAAACUGUAAAAAUGUAUAUCUGGGGGUUAUGUGAUUAGCGAGAAUUUGUAACUCCAGGUUAUCACCCCUUCCAUCCCUAUUGUUACAUUCUUUUUGAUUUCUUUGAAAAAUCACGAUUAAAAAAAAAAAAAAAUGUGAAUAAUUAAAUAAGAUAUUUUUUUAUGGAAAUAAAAAACAUUUGCAUUAACAACUGCAUAUAAACACAGUAUAUAAUACUUUUGAGAGCCGUGGAGAUUAGCUAGAGGGAAAGGUAGUAAUAAAAAGUAGUAGAAAAGUAACCUGCCAAACUAUAGACAAUUGAUUGACAAAUAAACAAUAAUUUGAUUUUAAAUUCGGUGAAACUAGUAAUUUUUGAGGUAUUUUUUGAUAUUUUAUUACGUGUUAGUAAUAAAGUAUUAGUAUUAAUAUUUCUUGCCAGAUUAACUUAUCAUUGGACAAAAUAAAGGGUAGACAUUUUUUUAAAGUCUGUAUUUGAAGUCUGCAAAUUCUGACUUUGAUACUAAUAUGGUAUACUUGGAUACUCCUUAUAACCCUAUAUAAUAUUCAACAAUGGGCUUAACGAGUUAACAAAUUAAUUUUUAAACAUUAAGAUAAUUAUUCUUAUCCAUUGUUCAUAAAAGUCCAAUUAAGCUGGAAAUAAAUGAUUGAGUCUGUUUUUAUCACUUAUUUGUUUGUUAAUUUAUAACUGUAGUAAUUUUUUUUCACUUAAAAAUUCUUUUUCUCUCAAUCCCAACUAAUUAUUUGACACAACUAAAUCAAAUUGCCCACCUUUGAGUGUAUAAUCAGUGCUCCGAUUCUACUUAACCAGUUGACCAAUGAAACUUUAGACCCAACCUUAUAUGUUAUAUACAUUUUUUUAGCACUAUAACUGUUAUGCCAGGGGUUGGUCAUACUAAUUUUCACCAAAAACCUUAUAUUGACCUUUAGAAAUUGAAUUUCAGAAAUUCAGUUUCAAGUUACCUGGUUAUUCCUUUUCCAUUUGUAAAUUUUCAGUCAUUUGCAUGUAUAACAUUCGGCUGUAUAUUGCGCACAGACAGACUAACACUUCCUUUAUUUAUAUAUAUUCUCAAUUGUGUCAAAUUUUGAUUGCUUUUUUUUAUAUUAAAUAAUUAAUAUAUAUAUAUUAUUACAAUAAAAUAAAAAUGAAUAGUUAACAUAUUUGAAUUACUGGUUCAAAUAUAAAAUAAUAUCAAAAACCGUUUAGUGUUAAAAUCUAAAUGUCGUAUAAAUAAUUGUAUUGUAUUAAGCAAAGUGUUAUUCUUUGAGAUUAUCGUUAGCGAGCUUAACUUAUGUUUACACGAAUUUCAAAUAUUUGUAACAUAAUAGCGUUUUGUAUUUGCAUCAAUUUUGUACUAGAUUUAUUUUAUAUUUCUUUUGAACUUGAAAUAAUAUAACUUUAAUUUUAUAAAUUGUACAAGAAUUUUCUUAUUUAUAAGUUAUACUAUAAUUAUAUGCUCAGAUUUUUUUUUUUUUUUUUUACUAUUAGUUAUACUGUUUUAUAUAAUAUUUUAUUGUAUACGAUUUUAAACAUUCUGUUGGUAUGAUUUUAAUUUUAAAUAAAAAUGAAUAGCUCAUAUGUAGCCACACUAUUAGUGAGGGCACUAGGUUGUUAAAUAGCACACUCCGAAAUAGAGCCCCAAAGUUAGACACACACCUAGGCCUCUAAAAUUCCUAGUUGUGGCAUUAUUAUUAUAGUACAUUACAUAAAAAAAAAAAAAAAAAUUAGAAACUCAAUUUAACAAUAGUAAUCAAUUUAAACAAAAAUAUUAUAUUUAUUAGACUGCUUAAUUAUUAUUAUUAUUUUUUUUUUAUUGUAAUAUAAUUAAGUUUUGUUUGUAUUGAAUAGCAUGUUCAUAUAUUAUACUUUAAUUUGUUAAGUUUAAGACUGAUUUUUUUUUAAGGAAAUUAUUUAGUACCUACCUAUAUUGAAUCAUUCUGUGCAACUUAAAUUAGUCAUUACUUGAUAUUCUAUAAACAAUUAUUGGUAAUAUUUAUCUUUUUUACAUUUUGUAAUACCUAGUAUUUUAUUGUACCUAAUAUUAAUUUUGUUGUCAAACAAUGUGAAAUAUAUUAUUAUUGAGACCGCUGAAAUGUAUGGUUUUAUUAUUAUUUUAUACAGUUGUUUAAAAUAACAAUAACAUACAGCACCGU
rnacentral:lncRNA from 1 species